UACGUAGGGUCCGAGCGUUGUCCGGAAUUAUUGGGCGUAAAGAGCUCGUAGGCGGUUUGUCGCGUCUGCUGUGAAAUCCCGAGGCUCAACCUCGGGUCUGCAGUGGGUACGGGCAGACUGGAGUGAGGUAGGGGAGAAUGGAAUUCCUGGUGUAGCGGUGGAAUGCGCAGAUAUCAGGAGGAACACCGAUGGCGAAGGCAGUUCUCUGGGCCGUAACUGACGCUGAGGAGCGAAAGCGUGGGGAGCGAACAGG
rnacentral:rRNA from 1 species